UACAGAGGGUGCAAACGUUGCUCGGAAUUAUUGGGCGUAAAGCGCGUGUAGGCGGCCUGUUAAGUUGGUUGUGAAAACCCAUGGCUCAACCAUGGAAGUGCGUCCAAAACUGGCAGGCUAGAGUUCUGACGAGGAUGGCGGAAUUCCCAGUGUAGAGGUGAAAUUCGUAGAUAUUGGGAGGAACACCGGUGGCGAAGGCGGCCAUCUGGGAAGAUACUGACGCUGAGACGCGAAAGCGUGGGUAGCAAACAGG
rnacentral:rRNA from 1 species